rnacentral:sRNA from 1 species
GUUGUAUCCGACUAGAUGCUUUGUAGAAGACUUUGGUGUUGUUGCAUCCUACAUCAUUGUGCUUGGCAUCCAAUGGCUAUUAUUUCACGAUCAGCUCGUGCAAUUCGAUUGUUUUGGCAGACCUGAUUGGUUUGUACGCGAAAAUAAGCGAUACCUUGCAAUUUAUUCUCCCCGUUGAAGCUGAGGGAGAGGUCUCUUGAAAUGAAGAAUUGCUGAUCCUCUGGACUAAGAUAUCCAUCCACGGGAUCAAUGGAAACCGUGGUUUCAGGCUCAGUUUCGACGCUAAACUUACUGCGAGCUUCCUGCAUUUAGAAUCUUUGGGUGACAAAUACCGAAAGGGCCAUGCAACACCAGAAAAUUUGACAAAUAGGAUGAGAAACCACUGCGAAGCAGUAGUAGUAAGUUGAAAACUACAAGUAUAAGUUCUUUGAAAUGAAGAGAGGGGUGGGGACCUUUGAAAAAUGAUACCCUUCGGGUACUGAUAUUUUAAUAAACAGGUUGCCCUCGUUGGAUAUGGACCACCAUCAACUGUAACGGUCUGUGUGUCAGCUGAUGAUCGUCUUCUCAAGGAUUUUUGUUUUGCUACGGGAGGCCGAACCCCUUUCAGCUCCAAAGUAAGAAGUUCAGCUUCUUCCUUGUCUAGAUAUCUGA